ACUCAAAGGAAUAGACGGGGGCCCGCACAAGCGGUGGAGCAUGUGGUUUAAUUCGAAGCAACGCGAAGAACCUUACCAGGCCUUGACAUCCCCUGACCGUCAUGGAAACAUGGCUUCUCUUCGGAGCAGGGAGACAGGUGGUGCAUGGUCGUCGUCAGCUCGUGUCGUGAGAUGUUGGGUUAAGUCCCGCAACGAGCGCAACCCUUGCCUUUAGUUGCCAUCAUUAAGUUGGGCACUCUAGAGGGACUGCCGGUGACAAACCGGAGGAAGGUGGGGAUGACGUCAGAUCAUCAUGCCCCUUAUGGUCUGGGCUACACACGUGCUACAAUGGUCUGUACAGAGGGCAGCGAAACCGUGAGGUGGAGCGAAUCCCAGAAAGCAGAUCUCAGUUCGGAUUGCAGGCUGCAACUCGCCUGCAUGAAGUCGGAAUCGCUAGUAAUCGCAGGUCAGCAUACUGCGGUGAAUACGUUCCCGGGCCUUGUACACACCGCCCGU
rnacentral:rRNA from 1 species